rnacentral:rRNA from 1 species
UACGAAGGGGGCUAGCGUUGCUCGGAAUCACUGGGCGUAAAGCGCACGUAGGCGGUUUGUUAAGUCAGGGGUGAAAUCCUGGAGCUCAACUCCAGAACUGCCUUUGAUACUGGCGAUCUUGAGUCCGGGAGAGGUGAGUGGAACUGCGAGUGUAGAGGUGAAAUUCGUAGAUAUUCGCAAGAACACCAGUGGCGAAGGCGGCUCGCUGGCCCGGUACUGACGCUGAGGUGCGAAAGCGUGGGGAGCAAACAGG